GCGAACGCGCCCAUUGACUUGCGCUGUUUAUUCAUGAUUACACAAAACUUUAUGAAUACAUACGUACCUUCGCAAACAGAAACGUUGUUAAUGUACAGAUUGUAUUGUCAUUAUUAUAUUCUACAUGUCUACGCCAUUUUCUUCCCAAUCGUUUCAUUUUCUUUUUCGCCAUUGAUUCUUCGGACCAGCGAUAUCGAAUAUUCCAAGUCAGUAACGAUGUCCCCUAUAACUUGACAUUCAACAUAAUAUAAGAAGAAAUUUUUUUGGGCAGGUAACCAGGAAUGGUUUUCGGGUACGUCCUUUGCAACUCCAUCGCUACCUGCACCUUGCGCUAAAAUUCCGCCAUUAGUAACAAAUCUCCUUUUUCCUUCUUCUUCAAUAGCCAGUCUGAGAUUCCAUAGAGCCUGCCGACAAGAGGGAACAAAAUAGGGAAUAGGCGCUUUUGACAUAAUACUGUUAUAUAAGAUAUAAAAAGUCAAUGUCAUCGAAACAAUUAGGUCUUUACGAUAAUCUAUCAUGUUCUUAACCACAUCAUAAUAUAAAUAUAGACCAAAUCGUGAGCGCACUCUAUUAAGCACAACCAAACGUAUACCCAAAUUUUCCAAUUUGAUAAUUAAGUCGUUGUAUAUUCCAACAGGAAAUGGUCCUUUAAGGUUAAAUUCCAUAUUCACCAAUUGUAGCAACUUUCUCGCAGUAACUAAUAAGGAGGAUAUUUGCUUUUUAUAGCCUUCACAUAUCGUUAGGUUAGUAUAUAAAUUACGACUCAGCAAGUAGUCUGACAGUGUUGUGUAUUGUUUCAAACUUAAUAAAGAAGCUUGCCCGAGCUUAUAUUUCAAAACACGGCGGGCCAAAUAUGGAAAAACCACUAUGUUGACUACUAUAGCCAUGCCUAUCCCAACAUUGACGACUAUAAAACGGAUACAGGCUAGAUGGAAUGGAGAAAUCGUUGAGGUUUUAAGGUAAGAUCCAUAAAGGAUAGGAGGAAACGUAAUGUUGAAUACAGUAGCUAUACCAGAGUAUUCGGUGUUAUACUUGACAUAGCAAGAAACCCAUGAGAUGGCAAAUGUCAAUGUAGCUAUCGCGUAACUCCAUCCUUGGCUGACCUCCCAAGCAGCAUAAGCAUACACAGCACCCGAUAAGGUGCCAAGGGUACGAAAUAAACCAACUCGCAAUGUCGUUGAUACCGUCACUUCAAGUACAAAAAGCGUUGAAAUCAAGGACCACUGUCCGUUCCAAAGAGUGUAACGAGCAGCAGUCGAUUUUUGAAAGGCAACAAUACUUAACAAACCAAUUCCAAUCGCCAUUUUGAGUCCAUAUCUAACAUCUUUCGAGCGUGCAGUGAAAUGAUAAACACGCCAGCAUUUCCGACGCAUCUUUCUUAAAAAAAAUUUUAACGGAUAUCUUACAGAGUCGAAAAACGAUUGAUCAUUUAAAACUUUAGGUGAAUCAUCUUCCUCACCACUGGCAUCAUCAGGCGCUUCAUCGUCGCAUUUAUCUGCGUCUCCAGCUGUGAAAUGAGUCAAAAGAGCGGAGAUAGCAUAAUUAGCAUAUUUUUGUUUAUCAAAAAGACUCAGAUUGAAUUUUCGAAAAAACAGUUUAGGUUUAUUAUGCCGCUGGGCUUUCAAGCCUUCUAAUAGCAGCAGCAAAUUCUUUACCUCUCUGGCAACUUCAAAUAGAUUAAAUAGGUAAUAUGCGAUAACGAGUACUUCCUCUUCAUCUUCAAUUUCUUCGAAACCACCAAAAUCGUUAACUUUUUUGGUCUCCUUAAAAGCUGUACAAAAGAUUUCAGUCAUCAAGUUUUCCUCUUUUGAAUCUAUUUCUUGGAGAGAUUCAAUGCAUUCCCUAAGUCGUUCAUCCGGUAUAUGUUCAACGUCGGAAACCAACCAUUUCAUAAUAGCAUGAGCCAACUUUAAGCUACCCAAUAUCAAUGAAGACAUAUGAUCGACAUUUGAGAAAUAUAAAUUUGAUAAAUUGACAAUCCUGUCCUUGCUAUCCUUUGGCCUUACUUUAGCUCUCAGAGAACCGUUUAUGUGCAAUUGAUAUUGUGGAGUAAAAAUAUUUCUUUUUUGCUGCACCUCUGUGGAUUCGGGUAAUGAAAAGCGAAGUUCAGAAACACGGAUAUCACCUUCAACUUCUUUAUCUUGAUUUUUAUAGAUGCUAAAGUUGUAAGUCUCGUAUAAUGUGAAGGAUGCUGCAAGCUGCGCAGACAUCGCAAGCGUAAUUCUCUCAAAUUUCGGUUCUAGUAGUUUCAAAGUGCUUACAGAAACAUUUGAAUAAUUAAGUUCAAUUUCGGAACUGCUAAUAGCCGUAUGGAAAUCAUCCAUGCUGUUUCUCAAGACAGAUUCAUGUUCCUUAAACAUUCGCUUAAUAACAGAAGAGGAUGAAGAAAAGGAAACAGAUUCAUCUGAAGGAAAGAAAUUUUCUACGGAGAAAUUCAAGCUUUGCAUGAUCUUAUUUAAAUGAUCUAGUCCUGACUGACCCACCAAGUCUGAAGCCAUUCGCAUAGGAGGAACCAAAAUAGUGACUAAUGAAACAACUCCAGCCGCGAUCAAUGAGGGAUAGACAAGACUUAUGUAAAAAGACUUAGCAAUUGUUUUUUCAAAAGGGUCUCUUGUCAAUAAAAAGCAAUCGAUGAAGAUCCAUAUAAUACAAAAGAAUCUGUAACCAUAUCGACUGCGUAUGUAGGCAGCUAAGAUAAAUGUUAGUGACUGAGCAUAGCUAAAAUUACAUACAAAUAAAUGAUGCUAAUGCAAGUGAAGUCGCCAAGAUUGGUGAACCAUCCCCAUGAUUUCUGUUUGCUGCAGUCGCAAAUAGUUUUGUAAUAAUUCCCCAAGUAACCCCAACAGCUGUACCCAUCAGCGACUGUCCUAUCACCUCAAAUUGUGCUCCUACAGUGUUUUGAAUUGGAUAAAAUAGAGUAUGAAAUGUAAGAAUUAAAAAUGGAAAGCUACCGAUCUUUCGAGCCAGCGGUCGAAUUAGUACAAGACAUUGACAUGCAAAGAGUGCGACGACUGGUUUUAAUAAAGAGUAAAAAAUAGCUGAAUACUUUAAAAAAUGCUCGUUCUUCCUUAACUUGUGAAAAGUCCAGCCAUGGUGGAAAUUCAUAACCGGCAAUUAGUUGCACAUAAAACAACCGAAUCGCUUUUCCUUCACAAAAAUUUCUAGUAAUAAAAUCUAUAUCUACAAUUUCAAAUAGGCAGGACGUAGAUAUUGGGAAUUUUUAAAUAUUGACGAUUGCGGAAGAUGAAAAGGCCUAGAGCAGCCAAUUUUAAAAUCAGUGAUGGGGUUUUCAAGCAAACCCAGCAGUAUAUCAAAAAACUACCAAAGAGCCCAACAAAAACAAGUAUGCAAUUUCUUCAGUAUUGUCUGGGAUUCGCAAACUCCUUUCACGUCAGCCUUUAAAAGUUGACGAGGACAAACCGCGGCGUCAGGAAGCCUUUUUCUGAGUUCGAGUUGGUUUAGUAGUAGCUUUAUAUUAAUAUUAGAACUUUUUAAUAUCUAUUGAUAGAAAACUCAUAUGCUUAACGUCGAUUUUGACAUUUUGCGA